rnacentral:rRNA from 1 species
GACGAACGCUGGCGGCGUGCUUAACACAUGCAAGUCGUACGGUAAGGUCCUUUCGGGGGUUCACGCGUGGCGGACGGGUGAAUAACACGUGAGUAAACUGACCACUACUUAGGGUUAACGCUAGGAAACUGGUGCUCAUACUGGCUAUGUGCACCUGCUGAUAGGUGGGGGUUGGGAAGCUCCGCGGGUUGUGGAUGGACUCGCGGCCUAUCUGCUUGAUGGUGGGGUAGUGGCUUACCUAGGCGGCGACGGGUCGCCGGCCACAGAGAGUGACCGGCGACAUUGGGACUGAGAGACGGCCCAGACUCCGACGGGACGCAGCAGGAGGGAAUAUUGCACAAUGGGCGCAAGCCGGAUGCAGCAACUCCGCGGGCGGGAUGACUGCCUUCUUGUUGUAAACCGCUUACAUCAGUGACGAAGCUUUUUGUGACGGUACCUGCAGAAGAAGCACCGGCUAACUACGUG